rnacentral:sRNA from 1 species
UUGGGACCCCUGGAGGCUGAAGUCCUCAGUACACAGAAUACAUACGACAUGGGCAGCAGUUGUGCACGCUUUUCCUCUGCACUGCCCAGCCAAUGUGCCUCAACCUUGGUUUGUAGUGAGAGGGGAGUUAUCUUCCAAGGGUCAGACAGACCUAGGCUUCU